CGUAGGGUGCAGGCGUUAAUCGGAAUUACUGGGCGUAAAGCGUGCGCAGGCGGUUUGCUAAGACAGGUGUGAAAUCCCCGGGCUUAACCUGGGAACUGCGCUUGUUACUGGCAAGCUAGAGUGUGGCAGAGGGGGGUGGAAUUCCAGGUGUAGCAGUGAAAUGCGUAGAGAUCUGGAGGAACACCGAUGGCGAAGGCAGCCCCCUGGGCUAACACUGACGCUCAUGCACGAAAGCGUGGGGAGCAAACAGGAUUAGAUACCCUGGUAGUCCACGCCCUAAACUAUGUCAACUGGUUGUCGGGGAAGCAAUUCCUUGGUAACGAAGCUAACGCGUGAAGUUGACCGCCUGGGGAGUACGGCCGCAAGGUUA
rnacentral:rRNA from 1 species